rnacentral:rRNA from 1 species
UACAGAGGUCCCAAGCGUUGUUCGGAUUUACUGGGCGUAAAGGGUGCGUAGGUGGCCAGGAAAGUCUGAUGUGAAAGCCCCGAGCUCAACUCGGGAACUGCAUUGGAUACUACUUGGCUUGAGGAUCGGAGGGGAGACUGGAAUUCUCGGUGUAGCAGUGAAAUGCGUAGAUAUCGAGAGGAACACCAGUGGCGAAGGCGAGUCUCUGGACGAUUCCUGACACUGAGGCACGAAAGCUAGGGGAGCAAACAGGAUUAGAUACCCUGGUAGUCCUAGCCGUAAACGGUGCACACUUGCUGUAGGCGGAUUCGACCCCGCCUGUGGCGGAGCAAACGCGUUAAGUGUGCCGCCUGGGGAGUACGGUCGCAAGAUUAAAACUCAAAGAAAUUGACGGGGGCCUGCACAAGCGGUGGAGUAUGUGGCUUAAUUCGAUGCAACGCGAAGAACCUUACCUGGCCUUGACAUGCAUCUCUAAGCGUGUGAAAGCACGUGACCCCUCGGGGGAUUUGCACAGGUGCUGCAUGGCUGUCGUCAGCUCGUGUCGUGAGAUGUUGGGUUAAGUCCCGCAACGAGCGCAACCCUCAUGUUUUGUUGCCACUUCCGCAUGCGCGGAAAGCACUCUAAACAGACUGCCUCGUAUCAACGAGGAGGAAGGUGGGGAUGACGUCAAGUCAGUAUGGCCCUUACGGCCAGGGCUGCACACGUACUACAAUGCCCGGUACAAUGGGAAGCAAUAUCGUGAGGUGGAGCAAAUCCUCAAAACCGGGCCCAGUUCAGAUUGUAGUCUGCAACUCGACUACAUGAAGUCGGAAUCGCUAGUAAUGGCGCAUCAGCUGCAGCGCCGUGAAUACGUUCCCAGGCCU